rnacentral:rRNA from 1 species
GAUGAACGCUGGCGGCGUGCUUAACACAUGCAAGUCGAACGGUGAAGGCGGAGCUUGCUCUGCUGGAUCAGUGGCGAACGGGUGAGUAACACGUGAGCAAUCUGCCCCUGACUCUGGGAUAAGCGCUGGAAACGGCGUCUAAUACUGGAUACGAGCUGCGAAGGCAUCUUCAGCAGCUGGAAAGAAUUUCGGUCAGGGAUGAGCUCGCGGCCUAUCAGCUUGUUGGUGAGGUAAUGGCUCACCAAGGCGUCGACGGGUAGCCGGCCUGAGAGGGUGACCGGCCACACUGGGACUGAGACACGGCCCAGACUCCUACGGGAGGCAGCAGUGGGGAAUAUUGCACAAUGGGCGAAAGCCUGAUGCAGCAACGCCGCGUGAGGGACGACGGCCUUCGGGUUGUAAACCUCUUUUAGCAGGGAAGAAGCGAAAGUGACGGUACCUGCGGAAAAAGCGCCGGCUAACUACGUG